AGCUGGUUAGAGCAGACGGUUCAUAACCGUCCGGUCAUAGGUUCGAGUCCUACAGGAC
rnacentral:tRNA from 1 species